GUUGGUAUCGAUUAGGGGUUAAAUCACUUCGUUGUGGUUGUUGACACUUCCGAAGAGCCGCUGGUUCGAUUCCAGCUACCGACA